rnacentral:rRNA from 1 species
UACAGAGGAGCCAAGCGUUGUCCGGAGUUAUUGGGCGUAAAGCGCGCGCAGGCGGCUUGGCGCGCCCGACGUGAAAGCCCCCGGCUUAACCGGGGAGGGUCGUCGGGUACGGCCAGGCUUGAGGGCGGGAGAGGGUGGUGGAAUUCCCGGUGUAGUGGUGAAAUGCGUAGAGAUCGGGAGGAACACCUGUGGCGAAGGCGGCCACCUGGGCCGAC